rnacentral:misc_RNA from 1 species
AACCUUAUGGACCUGCGGGCGUAUACCUGCGGAAGGAUCAUUACAGAGUUAUCUAACUCCCAAACCCAUGUGAACUUACCUUUGUUGCCUCGGCAGUAGUUGCUGGGCGAGCCUACCCGGGAACGAGCUACCCUGUAGCGAGUUACCCUGGAACGACUUACCCUGUAACGCCUGCCGGUGGACUACUAAACUCUUGUUAUUUUUAAAGUAAUCUGAGCGUCUUAUUUUAAUAAGUCAAAA